rnacentral:lncRNA from 1 species
UUCAAUAGGAUCCAUUCGAUAUGGGGUUUUAGAAAUGGGCUUUGUACCAGGUUCAAUAUCAAUAAAGAAUUCAACUUCACAUUCUGGGGGUAGACCGGGAAGUUCUUCAAGAAAUACAUCAGGAAAUUUACUAACAACAGAAAUAUUAUUCAAAUCCGACGUGUGUUUAUUCAAAUCCAUAACAUGGGCUAAGAAAGCUUGAC